rnacentral:siRNA from 1 species
GUGAUCGCUUUGUUGCUGGUACC